GAUCCUGGCUCAGGAUGAACGCUGGCGGCGUGCUUAACACAUGCAAGUCGAACGGGAAACCUUUUAUUGAAGCUUCGGCAGAUUUAGCUGGUUUCUAGUGGCGGACGGGUGAGUAACGCGUGGGUAACCUGCCCUAUACAGGGGGAUAACAACCAGAAAUGGUUGCUAAUACCGCAUAAGCGCACAGGACCGCAUGGCCCGGUGUGAAAAACUCCGGUGGUAUAGGAUGGACCCGCGUUGGAUUAGCCAGUUGGCAGGG
rnacentral:rRNA from 1 species